UACGGGGGGAGCAAGCGUUGUUCGGAUUUACCGGGCGUAAAGGGCGCGUAGGCGGCCACUGCAAGUCGGUUGUGAAAUCUCCGGGCUUAACCCGGAAAGGUCAGCCGAUACUGCAGGGCUAGAGUGCAGAAGGGGCAACUGGAAUUCUCGGUGUAGCGGUGAAAUGCGUAGAUAUCGAGAGGAACACCUGCGGCGAAGGCGGGUUGCUGGGCUGACACUGACGCUGACAGCGCGAAAGCUAGGGGAGCGAACGGG
rnacentral:rRNA from 1 species